rnacentral:rRNA from 1 species
UACGAAGGGGGCGAGCGUUGUUCGGAGUUACUGGGCGUAAAGGGCGCGUAGGCGGCGAUCCAAGUUAGGCGUGAAAGCCCCGGGCUUAACCUGGGAAUUGCGCUUAAGACUGGACUGCUUGAGUGCGGGAGAGGUGAGUGGAAUUCCCAGUGUAGAGGUGAAAUUCGUAGAUAUUCGCAAGAACACCAGUGGCGAAGGCGGCUCACUGGCCCGGUACUGACGCUGAGGCACGAAAGCGUGGGGAGCAAACAGG